UUUAGAAAAAAAGUCUCCGGCAGAGCUUAGAUGAGUUCAAGAGAUCAUAGCAUACAAAGGUUUUGGCUUUCUCAUGCACAUACACGGUAGAGGAGCCCCAGUUCUUCUUUACUGGAAAUUAAUGCAUAAAGCUGUUUUUGUAGGAAAACAUGUAAGAGAUCUAGCAAUUGAUAAUUCUUGUUUAUAAUUGCUUUCAUAAUGAUGAGAAAAAGAUCAUACCAGGUAUUUCACAAGACCUACCCACUGAGGGCAGUUUAAAGAAUGUGCAUCUCAUAACCCAAGCCUUUGUGUUUUCUAUCUUGAGUUUGGCUCAGUCUACUCCUGAGACCCUCUCUCCACAUUCCUUCUGUCCAAAACAGGGUUCCAGGAGCAUCGAAAGUAUCCAUGUGGCUACUGACAGCAUUACUGACUGUCCCCCACCAGAAGAAUGUCUGCUUACUCCAGGGCACUUCAGUAUUCCUGAGGAAUAAAUAUGAUUUCGCUUUUCCUCCCACUGGGACAUUCUCAGGUAUGUCACUGCUCCUGCUCUUUGACAUAUUUUCUAUGUAGAAGAUAACAGAGCCUGGAAGUGAGGGGUGCCUGGGUGGCUCAGCAGUUCAGCAUCUGCCUUCCACUCAGGGCAUGAUCCCUGGAUCCUGGAAUCAAGUCUCACAUUCGGUUUCCACAGGAAGCCUGCUUCUCCCUCUGCCUAUGUCUCUGCCUCUCUCUGUGUGUCUCUCAUGAAUAAAUAAAUAAAAUCUUUAAAAAAAGAAAAGAAGCUAAGUGAAAAGCAAAUCCUGAUCCAAAAACCAGACUGCAUCUGCCAUGUACCCAUCCCACUUCCUGCUGAGCUCUGAAUCUGACAUGUGUUGUUGUUUGUAUAUGCAUGUGCAUAGAUAUACACAGAUUUAUGGUCAUGGUAUAUAAACAGGUUUUCAUUCUAGUUUUUAUUUGCCUUGUGAAUGUUUUUGAAGGUCAUACAUUUCUUUAAGAAUUUGAUUUAUAAUUGCUGAAAUAUUAUUAAUCUUUCAACAUUUAAUGAUUCUUUUCUAUUGUUAGAUAAUUAAACUUUUAAAAUAG
rnacentral:lncRNA from 1 species